rnacentral:rRNA from 1 species
GUCACUGCUAUUGGGAUUCGACUAAGCCAUGCGAGUCGAGAGGGUUCGGCCCUCGGCUGACGGCUCAGUAACACGUGGAUAAUCUGCCCUUAGGUGGAGGAUAAUCUCGGGAAACUGAGGAUAAUACUCCAUAGAUCUAGGAUGCUGGAAUGCAUUUAGAUUGAAAGCUCCGGCGCCUAAGGAUGAGUCUGCGGACUAUCAGGUUGUAGUCAGGGUAAAGACCUGACUAGCCUACGACGGAUACGGGUUGUGAGAGCAAUAACCCGGAGACGAUAUCUGAGACACGAUAUCGGGCCCUACGGGGCGCAGCAGGCGCGAAAACUUCACACUGUGCGAAAGCGCGAUGAGGGAAUCCCAAGUGUUUGCUCGUAAGAGUAAACUGUUUCUUUGUUUAAAACGCAGAGAGAGUAAGGGCUGGGUAAGACGGGUGCCAGCCGCCGCGGUAAUACCUGCAGCUCAAGUGGUGAUCAUCAUUAUUGGGCCUAAAACGUCCGUAGCCGGUUUAGUAAAUGCCUGGGUAAAUCGUGUAGCUUAACUAUACGACUUCCGGGUAGACUGCUAAACUUGAGACCGGGAGAGGCUAGAGGUACUCCUGGGGUAGAGGUGAAAUUCUGUAAUCCUAGGGGGACCACCAGUGGCGAAGGCGUCUAGCUAGAACGGGUCUGACGGUGAGGGACGAAGCCCUGGGGCACAAACCGGAUUAGAUACCCGGGUAGUCCAGGGUGUAAACGCUGCUUGCUUGAUGUUAGUUGGGCUCCGAGCCCAACUAGUGUCGGAGAGAAGUUGUUAAGCAAGCUGCCUGGGAAGUACGGUCGCAAGGCUGAAACUUAAAGGAAUUGGCGGGGGAGCACAGCAACGGGUGGAGCGUGCGGUUUAAUUGGAGUCAACGCCGGA